ACCAACUUUGAAAUAUUUUCCGUAACUGUUAUUAUGAUUGAAUGUGAUAAAUGUUUACUUACGAAGCUAUGAAAGGUAUUUGAAUUUCAUGACUAUUUUCAAGUAUACAUUUGGAGACUAGAUUUCUUAAAGAAAUUUAUGCUAGCACGUAGAUAUUAAAUGUUUGGAAAGUAUUUAAACCACAAUGUUUUAAACAAAGCAUAGUAAGAAGUUUUGUUUUAAGAACUACAGUUUUCCACGAAAGAGCUGAGUAAAGUUCGAGCUUUGUGUAAAAUUUAUAAGCAGGCAUGUUUUAAUAUUUUUAGAUGAUUUAUGAAAUUUUCAUUAACUACAUGACUGAGAUCUUGAGCCUGAGGCUAGAGAUUACUAGGUGCACACUGGUUAAAUUCUGUUCUUGACGUUGAGUGUACUCCGUAACAACAAUGCUGUCGUGAGUGCUGGACGGGCCCCACUACGACAAAGACGAUGAGAGUGCUGGGCAGACCCCACUACAUCGUAGAGCUUGUAAACGUUGUUGUACUUGGUGUACCCUACAAAACGUAGAGAUCGAGUUGCCGGUGCCUGAUAGACUGCCUUAGUCUGCUGAAGCUCCAUUAUCGAUUGUCAGAGUCAUGCCACCACGUACUGGCAGACGACGCCGGCAAAAUCAGGACGGGAUGCAAAGUCCUACCUAAGGUCCAUCUGUAGGGGAAUCUAGUAUCCUAAGAGUUCGAGGUGGGGCAGGAAAUGAGCAGUUUGUGAGAACUUCAGAGGAGAUAGGAAGGCCAGAUAGAGCAGAGUCUAGUGAUCUAGAAAAGGCAUACAAAAUUGAACGGCUGAAGAAGUUAGGGGCUACAGUGUUUGAGGGUUCCACAGAUCCAGCUGAUGCAGAGAACUGGUUGAAUAUGCUUGAAAAGUGUUUUGAUGUGAUGAAUUGUCUUGAGGAGCGAAAGGUUAGAUUGGCCACAUUUUUGUUGCAAAAAGAGGCUGAAGGAUGGUGGAAAUCUAUAUUAGCAAGGCGCAGUGAUGCAUGUGCUUUAGACUGACAGACUUUUAGAGGCAUAUUCGAAGAUAAGUAUUAUCCCAGCACAUACUACGAAGCCAAGAGGGAUGAAUUUCUGGGGUUGAAACAAGGAUCACUUUCAGUGGCUGAGUAUGAGAGGAAGUAUACCGAGCUUUCACGGUAUGCUGACGUUAUUGUAGCUUCUGAGAGUGAUAGGUGUCGAAGGUUUGAAAGAGGGUUGCGUUUUGAAAUACGUACCCCAGUUACAGUCAUUGCUAAGUGGAUGAAUUUAUCUCGGUUAGUGGAGACUGCUCUUCGUGUGGAGCAGAGUAUAAUAGAAGAGAAAUCAGUAGUGGAGCUUAGUCAUGGGACUUUAAUAGCUAGUGGACUUAGAGGCCGUGAGCAGUGGAGGUUCAUGCCUGGGAUAAAUAUUUCAAGCCGUCAAGAUUUUAAGAAUCGCUCUGGAGGCCAAGCAUCGAGGAACGUGAGUUAUGGUUGUGUUUUUCAGAGACAGAGCCAGAGAAUACCUAGUCAACCCACUAUAUCAACAGUAAGAUCGCAACCAGGUCAGGAGUCCGUUGCUAGUACAGUCAGGCGAACACCACGUACGAGUUGUGGCAAGAACCAUCGGGGUCAGUGUUUGGUGGGUGCCGGUGUAUGUUACCAGUGCGGACAACCAGGACAUUUCAAGAAAGAUUAUCCGCAGUUAAACAUGGCAGUUCAAAGAGAUCAGAGAGUUGGGUCCUAGACAGUUGAGCAAUCGAGAGUUUCAGUGGUUCCAACAGAGGGCACCAGUGGUGCAAGGCAGAAGGGAGUUGUUGGAAGACCUAGGCAACAGGGAAAAGUAUAUGCUAUGACUCAACAAGAAGCGGAGGAUGCACCAGACGUUAUUACUGGUACGAUUCUUAUUUGUAAUGUACAUGCAGAUGUUUUAUUUGAUCCAGGUGCUACCAUUCCUUUAUUUCUAGUAUAUUUUUGACUAAGUUGAAUAGGAUGCUAGAGCCUUUAUCUGAGGGGUUAGCUAUAUACACUCCAGUUGGUGACGUUUUAUUUGUUAAUAAGGUAUUGCAUAAUUGUGAAAUUUUAGUAGAAGGUAUCAGUCUACUAGUGGACUUGCUACCACUAGAGUUACAGAGGUUAGAUGUAAUUUUGGGAAUGGAUUUCUUAUUUGCUCACUAUGCAUCUAUGGAUUGUCAUAGGAAGGAAGUGGUUUUCAGAAAACCAGACUUUGCUUAAGUGGUUUUUAGAGGUAUGAGGAAGGUCGUUUCUAGAAGUUUAAUCUCAGUUUUGAAAGCUGAGAAAUUGCUGAGGAAGGGUUGCACAACGUUUCUUGCACACAUCGUAGUAGUGCAGAGAGAAAAGCUAAAGCCAGAAGAUGUUCCUAUGGUGAAAGAGUUUCUUGAUGUAUUUCCAGAUGAUCUGUCAGGUUUGCCACCUGAUAGAGAGAUUGAGUUCACCAUUGAAUUAUUACCAGGAACAACACCUAUUUCAUAGGCACCGUAUAGAAUGGCUCCAAGCGAGCUAAAAGAAUUGAAGAUGCAGUUACAAGAACUAGUUGACAAGGGAUACAUCAGGCCUAGUGUUUCGCCGUCGGGAGCACCAGUGCUAUUUGUGAAAAAGAAAGAUGGUACCCUCAGAUUAUGUAUUGACUAUAGACAGUUAAACAAGGUUACAAUACGUAACAAGUAUCCUUUACCACGCAUCGAUGACUUAUUUGAUCAACUAAGGGAGCAGCGUUGUUCUCUAAGAUUGACUUAAGAUCGGGAUACCACCAGUUGAAGGUUAGAGAAUCAGAUAUUGCUAAGACAACAUUUAGAACGAGGCCGAGAAGAAUUAAACCGAGCUUAUAGACAAAGGAUCUAGCUCAAGACGGUGAGUGACAAAACCAACUUUGAAAUAUUUUCCGUAACUGUUAUUAUGAUUGAAUGCGAUAAAUGUUUACUUACGAAGCUAUAGAAGGUAUUUGAAUUUCAUGACUAUUUUCAAGUAUACAUUUGGAGACUAGAUUUCUUAAAGAAAUUUAUGCUAGCACGUAGAUAUUAAAUGUUUGGAAAGUAUUUAAACCAUAAUGUUUUAAGCAAAGCAUGAAUUAGUAAGAAGUUUUGUUUUAAGAACUACAGUUUUCCACAAAAGAGCUGAGUAAAGUUCGAGGUUUGUGUAAAAUUUAUAAGCAGGCAUGUUUUAAUAUUUUUAGAUGAUUUAUGAAAUUUUCAUUAACUACAUGACUGGGAUCUUGAGCCUGAGGCUAGAGAUUACCGUGUGCACACUGGUUAGGUUUCGUUGUUGACGUUGAGUGUACUCCGUAACGACAAUGCUGUCGUGAGUGUUGGACGGGCCCCACUACAUCGUAGAGCUUGUAAACGUUAUUAUACUGGGUGUACCCUACAUAACGUAGAUUUGUCAUGUUUGUUAUAAUUCUUCGAUAUACUUGAUAUGCCUUGCUAGAUUUCAAUGAUGAACAUGCUGAGUAUUUAAAGAAGCUAUUCUUACUACUACACGUUUACAUUUACGACUUGUAUAAACAGAUUUAUAUGUGUAAAGUUUUCACGUGCUCUUAUCUUUAAAUUCAUAGUUUUAAAGUAAGUCACUCUCUGAGAUUCAUAGCUCACCCUUUCCAAAAUGUUUUACCCAUUUUCCAAGUAGAGAUCGAGUUGCUGGUGCCUGAUAGACUGCCUUAGUCUGCUGAAGCUCCGUUAUCGAUUGCCAGUACGUGUUUUGAGUUGGGCAUAGAGUCUGUUGUGUUAUGAUGUAUAUACACCCUUGUAUGUUAUAGAUACUCCACAGUUUGUAUAAGCUUUAGUAGCUGUAAUUGUGUGAAUUUUUUUGGUUAUAUUUUGAUUAAGGUGUCUUUAGGUUUACUCGAGAAAUCGGUAAAUUUUGAGGUACACUUCAUGUAUGUGUUUGACUAGCCUAGGAUCCGCUGUGUUUUGUUGCAUGUA